GUAUUUUAUGAAAGAAGAGGCUUGCAUCCCCAUUAACAAGGAUAGAAGAGACUCUGGCACCUAAAAUAUGAAUAAACUUAAUGCAUUGCCACAUAUUUUGAUUCAUAUAACCACUGUUAUUU